GCGUGCGCGCGGCCCGCGGCCGGGGCUCGGCCCGUAGCGGAGCGGAAGCCGUGGUCCCUCCGCUGCGGCUGCCUGCCAGCAGCCACGGACUGAGGACCCGAGAUCCCCGUGUCCGCCUCACUGUGAGAGCUGCCUGGGAAAAGUGAUAAAAUUGGGACUCCAGGCCCCACGCUCACUUGCGCAAAUCUAGAUGGAGGGAACGAGAAAUCGGCAUUUUCUAGUUUGGUCUCCGACAGUUCUUAUCCCUAAGGAAAUUUUCGAAAACACUGACCUGAGCCAAUCGAAUACUUUCUGGAGGGAAUUUGCCUUGGAAAUAUUCUGACGAGCGACUGUGGCUUGGGACGCAUGGCCCUCCCGAACCUCAAGGGAAGGAAGACCCGUGGUGGGAAGCAAGACUCAGCUGGACCCCAGGAACGCCAGAGCCAGCCCAUCGUUUUUAAAACCUUGUACCCAAAAAUAAAUACAUAAAACCUUGUA